AUUUGACACAUUUUCAUAUUAUUAAGUCACAUAUUGAUGUUGACACGUACAAUUUAAGUAGUAUUUCUUUCUGCAAGAAGGUUUGGUGGUUUAUGUUUAAACCUUAACCCUUUCCCUCCCAAGAGUGCCAAUUGGUACAUAUAGAUUUGACUCUGUCUAAUGCCAGAGGAAUUUUUACUUGUCAAUUGGGAAGCCCUUAGGAGCUGGAAAAGGUUUAAACAAUGUCCCCAUUUAAUAUUUGUGGCUUUUCCUCUUUAAUUUUUGGAUUAAAUUUGAAGUUUGAACCUUUUACACCAUGAUAUUAUUGUCAUCAUCAUCAUCAUCAUCAUUAUUAAUUUUUUAUGUGCUUAACAGGGUAGUUAAGUAAAGUUAUUUCCCCUUGUCUACAAAUACAGGAAGAAAGGACGAAGAAAGAUGAUUCAAGCUACUGUGUGUGUGGAUCAAUACCUGCAGUCGCUUCAUGAUACAGUGAUUCAGAUCUUUUCAUAAAGUAUCGAAACAAGAAAUCAAAACCGGAAAGAACAGAGAAGGUGAAGUGAAUGACGAAGGAGAAACAAAAAAUG